AGUUUGAUUAUGGCUCAGGAUGAACGCUAGCGGCAGGCUUAAUACAUGCAAGCCGAACGGGAUUCAGGUAGCAAUACUUGAUGAGAGUGGCGCACGGGUGCGUAACACGUAUGCAACCUACCUUUAACUGGUGAAUAGCCCCGGGAAAUCGGGAUUAAUACACCAUAACAUUACAAGAGGGCAUCCUCUAAUAAUUAAAGAACUUCGGUUAAAGAUGGGCAUGCGGGACAUUAGCUAGUUGGUGAGGUAACGGCUCACCAAGGCAACGAUGUCUAGGGGUCCUGAGAGGGUUAUCCCCCACACUGGUACUGAGACACGGACCAGACUCCUACGGGAGGCAGCAGUAAGGAAUAUUGGCCAAUGGGCGCAAGCCUGAACCAGCCAUGCCGCGUGAAAGGAAGACGGCGCUAUGCGUUGUAAACUUCUUUUGUCAGGGAAUAAAUGUAGGUACGUGUACUUACUUGAAGGUACCUGAAGAAUAAGCAUCGGCUAACUCCGUGCCAGCAGCCGC
rnacentral:rRNA from 1 species